GGAAAGUGGAGGGAGGAACGUUAUACAGCACGCCGCGUGAGCGAUGAAGGCCUUCGGGUUGUAAAGCUCUGUCGUCGGGGACGACGGUGCCGGAACCUGUUGAUUAUCCCCUGCUAGCUUCGUGCCAGCAACCGCGGUAAUACUCGUGCCCCCAGCCCCGGUAAUAAGGGGCCCGCCGCCC
rnacentral:rRNA from 1 species